UGGGGAAUCUUGGACAAUGGGCGCAAGCCUGAUCCAGCCAUGCCGCGUGAGUGAAGAAGGCCUUCGGGUUGUAAAGCUCUUUUACCAGGGACGAUAAUGACGGUACCUGGAGAAUAAGCCCCGGCAAACUUCGUGCCAGCAGCCGCGGUAAUACGAAGGGGGCUAGCGUUGUUCGGAUUUACUGGGCGUAAAGCGCGUGUAGGCGGGUCGUUAAGUUGGGGGUGAAAUCCCGAGGCUCAACCUCGGAACUGCCUUCAAAACUGGCGACCUGGACUCAAGCAGAGGCAAGUGGAAUUGCGAGUGUAGAGGUGAAAUUCGUAGAUAUUCGCAGGAACACCAGUGGCGAAGGCGACUUGCUGGGCUUGUAGUGACGCUGAGACGCGAAAGCGUGGGGAGCAAACAGGAUUAGAUACCCCCGUAGUCCCUGAGCGGGCUGGCAAGGCGCAU
rnacentral:rRNA from 1 species